AGCAGCCGCGGUAAUUCCAGCUCCAAUAGCGUAUAUAAAGUUGUUGCAGUUAAAAGCUCUAGUUGAAUUUCGGGGUCAGUUAGGUUAGUCGUUGGUCCGAUGCCCGGUUUAACGGGUUACCGUUGGACUUGGUCGUUUCAACCUUGGAAUUUUCCCCUUCCAUUCCCCUUUCUGGAAGAAUCCGAAUGCCAUUGGUUCAAAUUUUAAUUUGGGUCCAGUUUUGGCAAUUUUGGGGGAAUUCAGGGUUAGCCAGGGUAAUGUUCAUGGCAUUUGCAAAAAUUUGAUUGAACGUUUUGGUUUAAAAAAAGCAUUGACUGC
rnacentral:rRNA from 1 species